UCUAAUAUGGCAGAAUAGUGCAAUGAAUUUAAGAUUCAUAUAUAAAGAUCCAUCUUUUAUUAGAA
rnacentral:tRNA from 1 species